AUGAAGAUGGUCACUCCGAGCUUUCUCCUGUGGGGGCUUCUGCUUUAUAUUCAGGGCUCCUGUGGACAGAUUGCGGUGACUCAGACUCCAGACUCUGUCUCUGUGUCACCAGGAGAACGCGUCACCAUGACAUGUAAAGCCAGUUCUAGUAUUGGCAGGGCAUUAGCCUGGUACCAACAGAAACCAGGACAACCCCCAAAGCCCCUGAUCUAUUAUGCCAGCAGCAGAUUCACCGGGACCCCAGAGCGGUUCAGCGGCAGCGGGUCGGGAACUGAUUUCACUUUUACCAUCAGCGGAGCGCAAGCAGAAGAUGCAGCAGAUUAUUACUGUCAGCAGUAUAACAGCUACACUCUCACAGUGAUACAGAGCCGUACAAAAACCUUCCUCUUCCAUCUCUAUUAUAUCAUACAGAAUAGAAACCGCUGA